AGUAACUAUUAAGAGCGACUAGUGUGUUCUUUGGCGAACUAAAUAUACAAUAUUUUACGACACUUGAAUUGCUAUUUUAUUUACUUGCUAUUUAUGCAUAGCAAAAGCGAAUUGAAAAGCUAUCACCGAAACUACAAACACAACGUUUGGGCCUUCACGGCCUACAUUGAAAGUCACGUGGGGAAUAUAUAUCGCCAUAUUUUCAUAUAUUACCUUGUUUUCUGACCCGUUUAAACGGUUUGCUAAAACAGACCCAUUUGAAAAAUCUUGGAGCUUGAUCCAUCAGACUUCAAUAUUUAAGAAUGGCUUUUUUGUUUGAUCCUGUAGAACUUCAUAUUGAAAAG